rnacentral:rRNA from 1 species
CAUGGAGGGUGAGAAUCCCGUCCGGCUGACCUUCAGGACGUUUUACGAUACGCUUUCUAAGAGUCAAGUUGUUUGGGAUUGCAGCUUAAAAUGGGAGGUAAAUUUCUCCUAAGGCUAAAUAACGGCGAGAGACCGAUAGCGAACAAGUACCGUGAGGGAAAGAUGAAAAGAACUUUGAAAAGAGAGUUAAACAGUACGUGAAAUUGUUGAAAGGGAAACGAUUGAAGCCAGUCGUACCUUCGGGUAAUCAGCCUUUCGGGUGCGAUUCUGUGGAGUGUGAGGAGCUUAAACACCUUCAUGUUUUGCAUAUUCGUACUCUUGGGUGUACUUGCCCGUGUGGUUGGUUAACAUCAAUUUUGGUGGUCAUAAAAUGACUGGAGGAAUGUAGCUUCGAUCUUGUAUUGAAGUGUUAUAGCCUUCGGUAGAUGUGAUGAUCGAGAUUGAGGAUUGCAACGGAUACCCUUCGGGGCUACCUGUCUGGUCUCUGAUCGUUGCUCUGGUGCCGAAAGCUUGCUUACGGUUAUCAAAGUCGAUGGUCAAUAGGUUAGAAUGGGUUAAAUUCGUUAAGGAUGUUGACGUAAUGG